AAUUUUAUAUUCAAUAAUGAUUUUAGACUGCAAUUCUAAAGGUAUAAUUUUAUAAUUAUUAAAAUUU
rnacentral:tRNA from 1 species